rnacentral:rRNA from 1 species
UACGGAGGGUGCAAGCGUUAUCCGGAUUCACUGGGUUUAAAGGGUGCGUAGGUGGGUUGGUAAGUCAGUGGUGAAAUCUCCGAGCUUAACUUGGAAACUGCCACUGAUACUAUCAGUCUUGAAUAUUGUGGAGGUCAGCGGAAUAUGUCAUGUAGCGGUGAAAUGCUUAGAUAUGACAUAGAACACCAAUUGCGAAGGCAGCUGGCUACUCAUAUAUUGACACUGAGGCACGAAAGCGUGGGGAUCGAACAGG